UCAGAAUACGUGCAUAUAUGUAUAUGGCUACUUUGGCCUCCAGAGAAAAAUUAUUACGUCCAUGUUAAGCUAUUUAUUAAGCUUCCUUACAGAAACACCUGUGUUCUCUACUGCGCCCGUUUCAGGACCUUAAAUAAAGGGAUGAGAUGGAUAUACUUCAUGGUUCCUCACUCGUCCUGGCUGAUCCAAAGGAGCGAUUCAACUACUGAAUCCAUUACGAUACCAAUUACGACAAGACAAACAUUCACAGAAACUACAGCCUGUGUUUGCGAUACCACAGCGUCACACAAUGCUUCGUUUGGGGCGUUACCAAAUAGCACAGCGACCACCACUGCCUCAACCUCUGAGACGGAAACAACGACAGUGACCACAAAGACAACCACAGCUCAAAAUGAUACAACUACCAUUUUCAACGUCACCACAUCGACCGCACGCACCAUCACCACAACCAUAAUAACGAUUACAUCCGAUUUCACGACCAUCGAGCCAGCCACCAGCGUCCGUUCCAGCACAACUUUCAUCCGCGGUCCAAACUGUCCAUCUCCCUGACGCUUCCCUGGUGUCCGUAGUAGUUUAUAGCCUUAAUGGCAUUGCUAUCACUUACUUAGUAUUUUCUCGUAAAGUUAUGUAUGUAUAAUAUGUAUAUCUAUAUAUAAACAAAUAUUCAUUUUAGUGAAGUUAUGUUCAGUAUUUCCAUUUAAUGUGCGAGUAUUGAUUUCUUGACAGUGUUUGUGUGUGUGUGUGUAAAUGAAGUAAAGAUAUUAGCUAAAAGAAGCUAUUAGCUGUGUAAAACUGUACGUAUUGUCAAACUAUCCGCAAUUUAAAAAAAAAAGCGUCAAGAACUAUAAGACACUAAGUAUUAUGGUAUUUAAUUUUUUUUUAAAUACAGAUAGUAGACCUAGAGCUAUUCAUGUCUUACGUUUACUGAGACAAUCAUGAAAUCUUCAUUUAGACCUCACAAUAUAAACUCUUGCUUCUAAAAUACUAAACUUCUUCCAACAAAAUCCUUACUUCUGGUUUAGUUGUUUGUUUGUUGACAUUCUAUGAAAACGGUGAACAAAUGUAAAGUUAAGUUGUUAUCUCUAAAACGUGACUACAGUAUACUAAUAAAGUUUAAAGCGGAUGUAUAAUAUGCAUACACAUGUCCAUGUUCAUAUUCAAUGAUCUAUGUCGAUUAGGAAAUGUAAUGAUUUUAAGAAUCAAAAAGUCUAAAUAGCAAGUCUUAUGGCUAGGGAAACAGGCUUAGUUCGGUGACAAAAACAAAAAAAUAUGGCAGAAGUGAAUACAUUUCUGCGGAAUGGAUUUAAAUGUCAAGGUCACGGGCUAGGUACAAGUGUAUGAGUGACGUGAUUCUGAAGUAAAACAAAAUAAAGAAUUGAACACACACAAAUUGAUUGAAGGGAAAACGGCGUUCAAUAGUUGUCAUCUAUCUCAGUACCUGUAGUACAGUGACUACCUUAUAUGGGAAUAAAGAUCUUUAUUAAUUACCA
rnacentral:sRNA from 1 species